GAGAGAGGAUGUUAAAAAGCUGUACCUGGUUGAUUUUCUUUGGCAUGUUUUCUUCAUUUCUGAAAGGAGGAAGGAGUGAGAAUGAUGUGAUUAAUUAAUAGUAAAGGAAGAUGGCGAGAGGGAGACGUGUCGCUGCUUAAAAUUCACUGGCAGAGAAGAUGGAGAGAGAGAGAGCGUCAGUGUCAGCCUUCAAACCGAAGACAAGGGAAUCUAAC
rnacentral:lncRNA from 1 species